AGCUGAGCUGCUAUUCAUAGUCAGGGGCGUGUCUUCAAGAAUGUUGUAUGACUCAAACAUUUUUUAUGAAAUACUAUACUUUGACAGUGUGAUUACUUUUUAUUGCACACUAAUACAAUGACAUUUGUUGUGAGUAAAUAAUGUUUAAAGGCAUGCUAUAUUAUGAUAUUUUAUAUGAUUAGUUAUGACAUACUAUCAUGUUACUUGUAUUCUUCUAUUUCCUUUGUGGCAUACUAAUUACUUAAAAGCAUGCUAUAACAUUACUUUUGAUGAGAUACUGUACUAGUAUAUUUCCUUUUACAUUUUACAACUUACGAUAUUUUACUUUUACUUAUAAGGCUAUGAAUAUUUAUUUACUUUUUUUGGCAUGAAAACUAUUAUUUUGGCAAAUGUCUUAUUAUGCUUUGCCUCUUUUUAUCAAGAUGUAUAUGUAUGUAUACCCUAUGCAUUCUGAAUGUUUCAGUAAUGUUUCUAUACUGUGGCUUUUUAUGACCUUUUUCAACAUAUGAUAUUAUGAAUUACUAUGAAUUCAUUUUCAGAAUUCUAUAAAAUAACCUUGUCUUUUUUCGACAUACUAUAGUAUAACUUUUAGAGGACAUCUUUCAACAUUCUAUACCAUGACUUUUCGAUUGUUUAAUUUUUUUCAUAAAAUCACACAUACUAUACAAGUACUUCAUGUCAAAACCAACGUAUUAUAGAAUUACUUUUUGAUGACAUAUUUCAACAUUCUAUCCUUUCAAUUAUUAUGACAUACCAUACUUUUAAAUUUUUCAACAUACUAUACUAUGUCUUUUAUCAUAUUUUGCAACAUAUAUCCUAUCAUGGAUAUUCCAUUUUUCGAAAUGUUAUACUAUGAUCUUUAGAUUCUUGACUUUAUAUGACUUUUUUAACUUACUUUACUCAGACUUUUUAAAAUAAUAGACUGUGACUUUUUCAGGAUAAUAUGGUAAGACUAUUUAUGACUAUUUUACACUUAACAGACUUAAUAUACCACGAACUUUUCAUGACUUUUUUCCACAAACUACUCUACGACAUUUUAGCAGUUAAUACUUCAAUCAAUGAAUCAUAUUUUUUAGGACUUUUUAAGGCAUGCUAAGACUUUAUUUAUACAUUUUUAUUGCAAACUAUACUAUGAAAUGUUAUGUUAUCAUAUUUUUUAUGUCACGCAGUACUAUGACUUUUUACAUCAUUUUUAUGUCAUACCAUAGAAGGACAUUUUUGUUACUUUUAUGUCAUACUACGCAUUUUCCUGACACACUAUUCUAUACGAUGUUCAUGUCUUUGACGUGUUUGAUGGCAUACUAUGAUAUUCUUUAUGACAGGUCAUAUUAGUAGGACCAGCUUCUUUUCUGUGGCCAAUAAGUGCCCAAAAUUACAGCAUGGUCUUGUUAUGAUUGUCGUCAGUUUUGACCAUUUUAUCAAGUUUUUUUAGAAGUUUCCUUGUCUUCAGAGGCCAAAUGUCUGGUUUGGUAACUGCUUUGAUGUGUUUUCAGUCUCACCAUUUUUGUACAAUAAUAGUUUUACUUAUUGUACCUGUACCAAAAGUGAAAGUAACUGUACUUUUAUUGACUUUGAUGUUUCAUAUUCACUGUUUAAUGAAACACAGCGAGAGCUGAUGCCACUGUGAGGAGCGGCUUGUGGUCAUUGUCUCGGGGUAUCGUUCCGUCACCAGAAGGUUUGAUGCUGAUGAGUCACGCUAGACUAAACAUAAACCACGGCAAAGUGUCCCCUGGAGGAAACUGAAACGAGGAUAGUAGCCCAUCCUGUUCCCAUUCCCAGGCUGUCGAAUGCCAACACGUAGUUGUGCCCUCCGGCUUCUGAUACACACGGCUCCAUUUAGCAUCUGCACGAGAUGUUUCUCGAGCGUCAGUGAGGAGUUGGAAGCAGGAAGAGCUGCAGCAUUUCAUUGUCCUUAAGGAAAAGUGGGGUUUUCAAAAGGUUAUUUAUGAAUUUAAAGAGUAGCUGUAGUUUAUGAUUAGUGGCGUGUCCAUUCCAAAACAAGUCCAUAGUGGGGGUUUUCCUCCAGUAAGUGCGUUGACCUUUGGACAGGAAACAGGAAAGUUGCUGACUAAUGAUGAGAUGAUAGAUGAUGUACAUCCCCUCAAGGUCAUGUGAGCAUGGUAGAUCUUAUCCUCAUACUUGGCUUCAAUUCACUCAAAUAACAAAAGGCAAUACCCCCAUUAUUAUUUCUUUAGCACAUCAUAAUCAUGAUACUUUGACAUUCUAAUGCAUCAUUUUCAACCUACUAUGGCUUGCCUACCCUCGGGGCAUACGCACAUUACACCACUGUGACAUCACGAGUCAGCAGCUCGUCCGCCGACGCAUCCUCCCACACUCCUCCCACACUUUACCCUUCAAGAUUCAGCUAUGAAGCAAAGUAGACCUCAGAAGCUCAAUUAACAUGCAGUUUUGGGAAAAUAGUUUUUGAGUGUGUGUGUACUUGCAUGUAUAGGCUGACAUCAGCCAAAGUGAUAGUCAUACUGCAACUAUCUCAUGUGUUGAAACUACAUUUUAAUUUCACAUAUUGCUCCAUAUUCUAAAUAUCAUGCAGCGUGUUCCUCUAAGGGCUGCUUCUUUCGUAGGGGUACUUUUUAAAAUCUACCUCUGCAUGCGAGGACGUUAUUAAAAGGUUCUACCAUCACUUCCUUCCUGACAAACGUCUUAUAACACUUCCUCCCCUGUGUGGCGUCACUUGAAACAACAGCAGCAGUCAUGUCUUCAAAGAGGUUGGCCGGUCGGGCAGAAAGUGGGGGUCUAUGUGGGUGUUCCUACUAGGAAAAAAAGAAAGAAGAGAAAGGUAUAUUUUAAAGGUAGAUACAAGGAGUGUGCCUUUAUUCUGCAAGGUGAUCAGAAUCUGAACGCCAGGAUUCCCCCUUGAAGUCACAUUGAAGUUGUGAGACGUGUCAGAUGGUAAUCAUCACAGACAGCUCCGACAUCAAGAAGACGCAUUGUGAGGCUUUGGCUUUGAUCGCACUGACUUUUUUUCACGGAGGAGACAAACCGAGCCGGGUUCCGCUCCCGUCAACACUUUGAGUUUGUGGUGCGCGUCCACUGUUUGCAAUCCUGUUUUGUUGCAGAUAAACCAACUCAACUGAGUGACAGCCGGCGGAGAGCAAGACAUGACGAUGUCUGGAUGGAUCGCUCAAAACAAUGAAAAUGAGACUUGAUAGAUGGUAACAUGCAGCUUUCUUAUAUCAGUCUGGACUGCCCGGUUUGAAAUGUAAGACAAACACGCUAUCGCAGCCGUGUGCACCCCCCCCUGGUUCUCCACUCUCCCUCGAUGCGGACAUCCAAAAAAAACCCCCAAAAAACAUGCAGAAGCAACACAAAUCAAUAUCACGUUCCGAUUCGAAAUGAAACAAAAGAUCAAUCCAGAACUGAUGAGGGAUGGCCUCGGCAUGGAUCAGUUCAAGCUGGUGAUUUGUAAAUCAUGGUAGAUCAGAUUGUUUCGCGUGUACACACCCAGUACUGCAGAGCUGUCCGCUGCAUGACUCAAGAUGCUCAUGAUUGACCUUCACAAUACAGGACGCGUUUUAGUAUACACAUAUAUAU